rnacentral:misc_RNA from 1 species
AAGUCGUAACAAGGUCUCCGUAGGUGAACCUGCGGAGGGAUCAUUACUGAAUGGCCUCUAGGCCUUCACCUUGCAAACCUGUGGAAGCACAUCUUGCUUCGGUGCUCCGGCGCCGCUUUUAUGCCCUAAUCAGUCUUUAUGUGUCUGAAUCAAAUACAAGGAAUAAAACUUUCAACAAAGGAUCUCUUGGCUCUC